rnacentral:rRNA from 1 species
UCAGGUGACCUCGGAUCACGUAGGGAUACCCGCUGAACUUAAGCAUAUCAAUAAGCGGAGGA